rnacentral:tRNA from 1 species
AAGGGUAUAGCUCAGUGGUAGAACACAAGCUUAGCAUGCAUGAGUGCAUGAGGUCCUGGGUUCAAUCCCCAGUACCUCCA